AUGUGGGGAAAAGAGGGACUCCCCGUGCACCUGUGGGUUGCAGGGAGGAAGGCUCCGGCCCGCACAUCCCAGCUGAUGGAGGCUCUGGCAAUCAGGGCUGCUUCACUGGGACCAAGCAGCCUCCCUAGCAGAGGAGGACAAGGGAAGCAGUCUAGGCAGUUUUCACUGGGUCAGCCCGAAAGUGGCUCAUGCCACUUGGCUCGGAUUUCAUUUUUGCAGCCCCACCUAACUGCAGGGGAGCUGGGAGGAGAGACGCCCAGAGAGUGCUGUGCACAUUCAAUUUUCAGCUACGCCAGUCUGGACUGGCCCCUGCCACACACACCAGCACAAUGUCAUUCCCAAAGCCACGGCGGUUCUCAGUUCUCCCCAGUCUCCCCCAGACCGUCACUGUGCUUGGCCAUGGACCCUGCUUACUCCACUCUGAGUUUCUCCCCACCAACCCACCUCUCAGUGCUGGUGUUUCUCAGCAGAGGUCUUGGGCCUCUCUGUUUCCUUCUCUUCUUGAAGGAUCCUAUCAGUCUCAUGGCCUUAAAUGCUGCCAACGUCCUAUACUUUUUAAAAAGGAUAUUUUAUUUAUUUGAAAGGAAGCGUUACAGUCACUCCCCAAAUAUCUGCAACAAGCAGGAGCCUGGGACUGCAUCCAAGUCUCCCAUACAGAGUGGCAGGGUCCAAAGCACUUGGGCCAUCUUCUGCUGCUUUCCCAGGUGCAUGAGCAGGGAGCUGGAUCGGAAGUGGAGCAGCUGGGACUCGAACCAGCACUCCCUAUGGGAUGCUAGCAUUCCACUACACCACAAUGCUGGCCCCAGUACUAACAUCUUGAGCAGAGAUCCCAGCACAAGAUCCUCUUGGAGUGGCUCUGAGCAGAUGGCAUUACCAGCCCCCCAAUUCCUCCCAAAGCGGGUCCUGACUGCCUUUCUGUGUCCCACCUGCCGAGACUCGUACCCCUCCCUCUGCCCAUGUUUGGUCCUGAAACUUGUCCCAGUUCUGAAACAUGUUUCUCUUUCUGCACUAGGAGGCUACUGGCUGGGAAAGCCUGCAUUUGGAAACCAAAAUCAAAAAUAA
rnacentral:lncRNA from 1 species